AUAUGGUAUUGCUGAAUGUGUCAGGAAGUGUUUUAAUUGUGAUCAUCUCAUGGUGAGGAGUGCAUAUGAGUUUAUUUAGACUGCACGUUUGCCAGGGUAGGGUGUCUAGGGGGACUGGUCAAAAUGUUUGUUCCAGGUCACACCAUGACUUUUUCCGGCCUAUGUCUGUCCAUUCCCUUAUCCUAGUGAAUAGUGAUGCUAUGUAGUACCAGUAUAUGUGCGGCAG